UCAAUCAUUUUAAAAUCAGAAGCGAAUAUGGGUGAAUAUGGGUGUGCCCCCAGCCAUUAUCAAUAUAUUUGCUUCUCCCUAGUAAACACUUUCUGCAUUCAUACCCACCUUUAAUUUGGCUAAAAAUAGCCUCAAAUCACACUGCUGAAUAACUGUUGGGUUGUAAAAUGUGGACAGCUUCAUCUAGAGGGUCUUUGCAAACUGGAAUCCGGGGGGGGGGGGGGGCACACAGAUAGCCUGCAGAUUGCUCCCCCUUCAACUGAGGGAGGAAAACCCUAUUGCAGGUCUGUUGUUAAGAACUGGUGCCACAGAUCCUUGUGCAUCCGUGAGUUGCAGUGACCGCAUCCGCUAAAAGUUUGCAUUUGGUAAUAAAGGUUCAGCCAGCAACAUUCCUACGAAGAAUGCAAUGGAAGAUAGCCCUAGACUGGAGGCCAAGACCUACGAGAAGAAGUGGAAGACCCAGGUAUGUUGACUGGAGAAGAAGCCUUCUUCCAGCCUCUGAAGGCCAUCGAUCGUUCCAGAGCAGUGGUGUGGAAGCCAAAGGGAGACUCCUGUCUGUCCUGGCGGUUCUCCUUGGCUUCCUGUCCUGAUCAGCGGCUGGACCUGCUAAGCCGGUGGGCCCUUUCCAGCUCCUGGGUCCCACUUCCUCCUAAAGGUGGAGGCUGUCUAGGAGGAAGCUGCUCGACCCCCAUCUGCUCCGUCUCGACUCCGAGACAGAGCGACGGCAACGUUCUCCAGGAUUCCAGAUGUGUGCUGGACGACGUGGCGACAAUGGACGCCCAGGUGUUCGCUGUGGCCUUGUUUCCUGGGCUUUCCUGAGGAAGCCUCCCUCCCACCCCCAACC